rnacentral:misc_RNA from 1 species
GAUGAAGACGCAGCAAAAUGCGAUACUUGGUGUGAAUUGCAGAAUCCCGUGAACCAUCGAGUUUUUGAACGCAAGUUGCGCCCGAAGCCUUUUGGCCGAGGGCACGUCUGCCUGGGCGUCACGCAUCGCGUCGCCCCCCACAAUUCUCCGUAAAGGGAACGUGUGUUUUGGGGGCGGAUAUUGGUCUCCCGUGCUCAUGGCGUGGUUGGCCGAAAUAGGAGUCCUUUCGAUGGACGCACGAACUAUUGGUGGUCGUAAAAACCCUCGUCUUUUGUUUCGUGCUGUUGCUCGCAAGGUAAACUCUUUAAAAACCCCAAUGUGUCGUCUCUUGACGACGCUUCGACCGCGACCCCAGGUCAGGCGGGACUACCCGCUGAGUUUAAGCAUAUCAAUAAGCGGAGGA